rnacentral:lncRNA from 1 species
UGAAAAUUGAAUGGUCCUGGCAUAGAAAUGUAUAAAGUUGACAUUACAUCAUAAACUGUAUAUCAUCUAUACUGUGUGGGAGUGCUAUUUAUAUCCCGUCACUACUGAUCAUUCAUCCAUACUGUGUGUGUCCCAUCAUUGCAGCUUUGGAAAUAAAUGAACUAUCCAUCCAUUGCUCCUUCCUGUGUUGACUCACUGACUUGAGGGACCAGGAAGGUCACACUAGCUCGAUAUCUAGCUCAAGCUUGCAAAUGUUAGCCACACCUCAUGCUUUUCAUGAACGGUGUGGUUGUGUUAUCUAGAGGGAACCCGUUAGCACAGUAGGCUCUGGUGCCUUUUUGCCGUGGGUUCAAAACGACAGAGGAAAUCAACCGGCUUGCUCCUUUUUUUCUUUUUUUUUGACACAACAGGCUGAAAAGCGUCAAUGCUACAGGAAGCUUUGUUUCCCCAUCACUACUUCUCAGCAUAUUCUCUGUGAAGUCGACUACGGGAGUUUUGUCACUUUUUCCACCUUGGCUUACUGCUAGUGCACUGACUGACAUCUGGAAUCUAUAUAUUUUGGAUGUUGGGGAUUUUACCAGCCAUCAUUCUCCUUCCUCUCCUCUGAAGACCUAGUGAGGGUGGAGCUUAGUCAGAGAGCUGUUGAGGGACUGGUUAGGAAAAAACCAUUCUACAGCCAGAGAGGGGCAGUCAAGAAAUGGAACAGCAAGGCCACAGAACAUGACAUAAGCAGAGCUGUAGGAGACCACCUCAAGCCCCUGGUAGAGCCGGGGGUUGUGUUUACCACUCCACCACUCCUUCAGCAGGCUUGAAAAGUGAUCGUUUUUCAUAUUAAGAUUGACCAAGAAAUGUGUUGCUUUUGCACAUAUUUGUAAAUUGGUUUGGCAAGAGUCUUGUUUGGUCAGUCAUUGGGUUCAUUUGUUUUACAUUAUGUUCAAAUCAAGAUUUAUUUAUACAGCACAUUUCAGACAUGGAUGCAACGCAAUGGUGAUAAGAGAAUUAUCUAAUAAAGGUAAAUGAAUCAAUAAACCAUUAUGAAUUAUAAGUCAUGUAGCAUGUUAAUGAAUAGUCAAUGUAAUGAAUGAUUAGUCCGAUUAGUCCCAGAACGUCUAGUAGAGGCUGGAGAGGGAGAGAAAUGUGUGUGUGUAUUUAGUGUGCCCAAGAGGGCAGGGGCCAGAUGGUAAAGGGAGUAAAAACUUCAAGGGGUUCCUAACCUUGAGGGAAAGGAACAGGCUGAGCUGGAUAGUGAUAAACAGUGUGGGAAGUCAACGGGGGAUGCAGUUCACCAACAGUUUGUGUGUAAAUGCAUGUGCGUAAGUAAAGAAGAAACUAUAUAAUGACUGUUUUGUUAUCUUGACCUCAGAAGGUUCUCUGAAUAAAGCUACAUGAACCUUUUGCAGAAAGCUGAG